CAUGACCCUAAAAAUGGGAAGAACAGUCUCCAAAACAUUUCUACUCAGAAGGAUAUCCUGAAAGCUUAUUUUAUAUCUUCCUCUGGAAAAGAAUAAGCCAAAUUCAGUGCAGGUGAAGACAUGGACUGAAAUUUUCUUCGUAUUUGCCGAGUUAUGACCUGCUUGGUGUCAAAAAAUGCAUAAAUGAGAGCGGAGUUUGGACCGUGCCAUGUGAUUCAUUUUUCUCU
rnacentral:lncRNA from 1 species